rnacentral:rRNA from 1 species
CACGUAGGGCGAGAGCGUUGUCCGGAAUUAUUGGGCGUAAAGAGCUCGUAGGCGGCCUGUUGCGUCCGCUGUGAAAGCCCGGGGCUUAACCCCGGGUCGGCAGUGGAUACGGGCAGGCUAGAGGUAGGUAGGGGAGAAUGGAAUUCCCGGUGUAGCGGUGAAAUGCGCAGAUAUCGGGAGGAACACCGGUGGCGAAGGCGGUUCUCUGGGCCUUACCUGACGCUGAGGAGCGAAAGCGUGGGGAGCGAACAGG